CCGAGUUUACAACUCCCAAACCCCUGUGAACAUACCUAUAUGUUGCCUCGGCGGAUCAGCCCGCGCCCCGUAAAACGGGACGGCCCGCCGCAGGAUCCACAAACUCUGUUUUUAUUAUAACUUCUGAGUAACAAAACAAAUAAAUCA
rnacentral:misc_RNA from 1 species